CUAAAUUCCUAAUGGAAAGGAGAUAAAAAGGGGACGCCCCCGCCCUUCUUUCCCCCGCCCUCAAUUACAAGGACAUCUAACAACCAACCAACGGUGUUGAUAAACCUAAGCCCAUCCCAAUCCUCUCAUCUCAGUCGUCUCCUCUUUCCCUUCUUCUCCAGCGUCCGAUCUCCCCUCUCUCCUCUCCCUGCAUCCUCAUCACCCUUCCCUCCUCCCCUCGCGCCCAAACUCAAAAACAAAAUAAUCUAUUCCUCCAAUUCUACACCCUAUAUAUAAAAGCCUCACUCUCCAUUCCUCCCUCAGGGUUUGGAUAUGGCUGAUUCGUCUCAGGGUGGGACUCCGGCGAGUCCAGGCGGCGGGAGCCACGAGAGCGGCGACCAGAGUCCAAGGUCCGGUGUUCGGGAACAAGAUAGGUUCCUUCCCAUAGCCAAUAUUAGUCGGAUCAUGAAGAAGGCACUUCCGGCCAACGGUAAAAUUGCUAAAGAUGCCAAGGAGACUGUUCAGGAAUGCGUCUCCGAGUUCAUCAGCUUUAUCACCAGCGAGGCAAGUGAUAAGUGCCAGAGGGAGAAGCGAAAGACUAUUAAUGGAGAUGAUCUGCUGUGGGCAAUGGCAACUCUAGGUUUUGAAGAGUAUAUUGAUCCUCUCAAGGUUUACUUGACUAGAUAUAGAGAGAUGGAGGGUGAUACAAAGGGGUCAGCAAAGGGUGCAGACGGGUCUGCUAAAAGAGAUGGUGUGCAACUUGGGCCUAGUCCCCAGCUUGCUCAUCAGGGUUCAUUUUCUCAAGGCAUGAAUUAUGGAAGUUCUCAGUAGUGUUGCUUGAUGGGAAUAACCAUCCAAUUCUUCUCCCCAGUGAAAUUUAGCCAAGAUAAAUGGAUAAUGUUCGUUCUUAAUUAAUCAACUUCAUUAUAUCUCAAGGUGGCGAGGUCAGAAUGUAAUGAUCCAAAUGCAAGGCAUGGAGUAGAUUUUGCGUUUGUUUGUUUGAUCAUUUGUUAAUGUGCUUAGAAGUCGUCUUUGGAGUUCUUGAGAUAAAUACAUGUAACCUUUUACUGUGAACUGAUUGUAACAACUGGUUUUAGCUUUCCUGUGUCAGUACUGUAUUCUGGUUAAAUGUACGUCUCUGGUGCUUUUCAAGUAGGUCUCUGAUUAUUUAUUUAUAGAGCUAUGAACUUUGUGGGCUUUUGUAAGAGAUGUGGUAUCCUGUUUCUCUUU